AAAAACAUAUUUAAUAGAUAUAAUUAUUAAUAUAUCCUGCUCAAUGAAUUAUUAAAUAGCCGCAGUUCAUACUGUGCUAAGGUAGCAUAAUCAUUUGUCUUUUAAUUAAAGACUAGAAUGAAAGGAUAAACAUUUAAAUCAUUAUUAAAAUCUUAUAUUUUCAAUUUAAUUUAAAUGUAAAAACUCAUUUAUAAAAAAGAUAGACGAAAAGACCCUAUUGAACUUUACUGAAGUUAAACUGGGGCAGUUAAUUAAAAAUUAUUUUAAUUUUAAAUUUUAAAAAAAUGACCCAAUAAAAUUGAAACUAUGAUCAAGUUACCAUAGGGAUAACAGCGUAAUAAUUUUCUAUAGAUCUUAUAUAAAAAAUUGAUUGCGACCUCGAUGUUGAAUUAAUUAUUCUAGUAAAUGAAACAAUUUAAAAAGAAAGUCUGUUCGACUUUUAAUAAAUUACAUGAUCUGAG
rnacentral:rRNA from 1 species